rnacentral:rRNA from 1 species
UACGUAGGGGGCGAGCGUUGUCCGGAUUUAUUGGGCGUAAAGAGCUCGUAGGCGGCUGUUCGAGUCGGGUGUGAAAUCCUGAGGCUUAACCUUGGGUCUGCAUUCGAUACUGGGCGGCUUGAGUCUGGUAGGGGGAUCUGGAAUUCCUGGUGUAGCGGUGGAAUGCGCAGAUAUCAGGAGGAACACCGGUGGCGAAGGCGGGAUCCUGGGCUAUUACUGACACUCAGAGACGAAAGCUAGGGGGAGCAAAUGGG